rnacentral:tRNA from 1 species
UCAAAAAUGUCAGAAUAAAUGAGUUUACUUUAGGUGUAAAUUAUGAGCAAAUUUGCUUUUUUUGAU